UGCUCAUUGGGACCUUCAAAGCAGCAUAAAUUUUUCUGUAACCUUCCCCAGAUUUGUGCCUCGAGACAAUCCUGUCUCGGAGGUCUACAGACAGUUUCUUUGACUUCAUGCUUGGUUUGUGCUCUGACAUGAACUGUCAACUGUGGGACCUUCUAUAGACAGGUGUGUGCCUUUCCAAAUCAUGUCCAGUCAACUGAGUUUACCACAGGUGGACUCCAAUGAAGCUGCAGAAACAUCUCAAGGAUGAUCAGGAGAAACAGGAUGGACCUGAGCUCAAUUUGGAGCUUCAUGACAAAGGCUGUGAAUACUUAUGUACAUGUGCUUUCUCAGUGUUUUUAUUUUUAAUAAAUUUGCAAAAACCUCAAGUAAA